rnacentral:rRNA from 1 species
UACGUAGGUGGCAAGCGUUGUCCGGAUUUAUUGGGUUUAAAGGGUGCGUAGGUGGGUUGGUAAGUCAGUGGUGAAAUCCCCGAGCUUAACUUGGGAACUGCCAUUGAUACUAUCAGUCUUGAAUACCGUGGAGGUUAGCGGAAUAUGUCAUGUAGCGGUGAAAUGCUUAGAUAUGACAUAGAACACCAAUUGCGAAGGCAGCUGGCUACACGAAUAUUGACACUGAGGCACGAAAGCGUGGGGAUCAAACAGG